ensembl:lncRNA
CACCGCUGCCCCUCCCCCCACCCCUUGGCACGCCUGUCAGAGUCAGCCCUCCCCCCUCCUCAGCCGCCCCCCCCCCGCUCCAACUAGCCCCGCCCGCUCCUACCUGCUGCUGCCGCCGCCGAUGCGUCCCGCUUCCUCCCCUCACUGACAGUGUUUGGGACCCUCUCGCCGGCCACCACACCGACAGCCAAUGGCCUGCCGGAGAAGGCGGGACUUGUUCGGCCGGCUCCUCCAAUGGCACCGGGGGACCCGGGGAGCGACGUCACGGGCACUGCGGGUGGUUGCACUUCCAGAGCUCUGCCCCGCUGCCCAGAGGCUCCUUCUUCCCGUUCGUCUCCAGCAAGGAUAGGCUGAGAGAGCUUAGCCUUCCCUCCAAAAAAAAAGUGGUGAGGAAGGAGGAGCGGAGGAAAGAGACCGGGGCGCGUGACGACAGCGCGCGGCUGACGGCGCGACGUAACAAGUAAGAAGCCGGCAGGAACCAUAGAGAGGAAAGAAUAUAGAGCGGCAAAAUAAUCUCUAGGUGAUUUCCGGUCUUCACAAAAUUGAAUUGUGUGUGUACAGUAUGUAAUUUAUUUAUAUAUUCUUGCGAAAUAAUUGCGUGAGUCUCUGUGUUAAAGGGUGUAUUUUUUGAUGCUUCGAGCUGUGUCCCAAGCAGGGGUUUGCGCCAUUGAGAUGCCAAGGGAUAGAGCGGCCUUUGCAGUGGGGCGAUUCAACAGGUGCAGCGCAGUCUCCCUCACCUUGGAAACGUAGCUGUGUUGGAAGAGGGAAUUUCAGCAGACUAGCCCUCUUUAGCCACCCCGCAUCAUGCUAGCCUUCUAGGGCCAUUGUCCAAUAUGUUGAGGAAGCACCUUUUAAAUACUGUACUUAAAAACACACGUGUACCAUUAUGUGUUAACUAUUUGGGGGCAUAGUGGUUAAGAUUGUUGGUCCAGGUCCUGGGAGACCAGAGUUCGAAUCCUCACUCGGUCACAAAGCUCAGUGGGUGACCUUAGGCCAGUCAUGGUUUUUAAGCCUAACCUGUGGGACACGGGUGGCGCUGUGGGCUAAGCCACAGAGCCUAGGACUUGCCGAUCAGAAGGUCGCGGUUCGAAUCCCCGUGACGGGGUGAGCUCCCGUUGUUCGGUCCCAGCUUCUGCCAAGCUAGCAGUUCGAAAGGACAUCAAAGUGCAAGUAGAUAAAUAGGUGCCGCUGCGGCGGGAAGGUAAACGGCGUUUCUGUGCGCUGCUCUGGUUUGCCAGAAGCAGCUUAGUCAUGCUGGCCACAUGACCAGGAAGCUGUCUGCGGACAAACGCCAGCUCCCUCGGCCUAUAGAGCCAGAUGAGCGCCGCAACCCCAGAGUCAGCCACGACUGGACCUAAUGGUCAGGGGUCCCUUUACCUUUACCCCCACAGGGUUGUUGUGAGAGUAAAAUGGGUAGGCAGUGGAAACCACGUAUGCUGCCACCUUAAGCUCCUUGGAGGAAAGGUAGGGUAGGAAUGGAAAUAAAGUGAGCAGAUGGGACAGGUAGCUCCCCCACCCCAGUAACUGAGCAUACCUGGGCAAUGUGAACUUUGUAACUAUCUCAUCCCAAUCUGUCAACCUGGCAUCCUCCAGCUGUUUUGUGGACAACAGCUCUCAUCAGCCCUAGCCAGCAUGCGCAGCAGUUACAGAUCAGUGGCUGGCUGGCUAAACCAGGUGAGGAUAGCCAAUGGGUCUCAAGCCCUCAGUGAGUUAGGGACUUUCCCUGCUUGCGAAUUGAGCAGACAAGACCAAUAGUGGGUCCAACGGUCAAGAAUGAGGCUUCUGCACAUGUUGUAGAGGGAAGUGAGGGGCAGAUGGGGCUCGUCAACCUUGGAAGAUAGCCCUUAUAGCAGAAGGAAAACUCUGAUCCUAAAUCUCUGCUGUGUUGUGGGACCUCUUCGAGAGAAGCGAAGGCUUAGGAGUAAACCCUACACAAAUCCAGAGUGGAGUCCCUAAGAUGGUUGGAUGGCGCCUUGUGCACCUUUCGGCAACUCCUGCAUCCAAGCAUCCGUGAGGCUGGGCCGCCCAGGACCUCCUCCACACACACUGCCCAUGUUUGCACCCCAGGGAGGUUACUUCGGUGCUCCUAACUCAAGCUUGACUUCAUCCUUGGAGGCGCACUCCAUGGUCUCUUGAGACAGAUGCCAACAACAUGCUAAAAGUGAUAAUUCAGGCAGGGGCUGGAAGGUAGGGAUGGAAAACUAGUGUGAAUUUGUACAAAAAUAUUUGCGAACUGCUCUGUCUGGGUCUGAGGAAAGGGAGCUCUUUCUUCAGAGUGUGCAGCUGACUUGUGAAAUGCACAAAUGGGGAAAGAGCCUUCAAAAAGCUAAAACUGCCAUGUUGCAA